CUGUCCUAUAAGGCAUUGCUUGUUUAAGUACAGUCGCAUUUAGUUGGAGCUGCAGGAGAGAGAGAGAGGGAGAGAGGAGAAGAUAUUGAGAUUUUCUCAAGCUGAGAGGAGCAUCCUAGCGGCCCCCUCCCUUUCUCCUAAUUAUCUGAAGGCGAAAGUGUGAGCUUAUUCAGGAAUCUGGCCAUCCGAGGUCAGCUUCCUUUGCACUGGAUUGUCAAAGCUUGUAGAAGAGUGACGGGAGAAGCAGCACAGAGAGGAGAAGGAUCGCAUCUUCCAAAGAAAAUAAAAGAGCGUGCACGAGAGAAGAAGAGGAGCUUGAUCGACUGAGGCAGAAACAUGAGGACCUACUGGCUGCACAGUAUCUGGGUGCUGGGAUUCUUCUUUUCCCUCUUCUCCCUGCAAGUUUUCAGGUGCUGUCUUGGCUAAUGAGAUCAGGGAGCUCACCUCAAGCUGGGAAGACAGAUGAGAGAGUGUCUCUCUUUAUUGCCUUCUUUUCUCUUAAGUGAUGGAGAUGUUCAAAGGCCUGGGUCAAGCCAAGUUUGCUUACAAGCUCCGAAGGAAAGAGACAGAAUAGGUUUUAUACUUUAAUCUUAAAACUCAAGAGCUUUGGAGCAGAAUCCAAAAUGAACUGGUGGGUUUUUUUUUACUCCAAAGCCUUCAGAUUCAAUAUAUCAACUGAAUAAUCAUCAAAUUCUCUGAGCCACAAAGCUCCUCUUUUAGCAAUUUGAACAACUUUUUAACGUCACAUAUGAUCCUUCCACUGUCUUGUCAGAAUUGUACACAUAAUCCUGGGAAAUAUACUGUCGAAGUCAUUUUCAAGGCUACAUUACUGACUUCUAUAGCUAAAUUAAACAUGGACAUCUUCCACCAAGAGAUUAGUUUCUUCAAGUGGCUGCUGUUAGUUUCCAUGGGGCUUGCCUAGAAAACACCAUGUGCCUCUGUCAGCAAGCAAGAUAUUUGAGCUCACCUCCCAUCAUCCCUGACACUAUCAGAGCUGCAUCAAUCUGAUGGGCUUACCAGUAAAAAAAAAAUCUGAAUGUUGAAGAAUUCACUAGUGAUAGUGCCUCACCAAACUGAAAUGGGCAGGAAGUAAGGUGAGAAGAACCAUCAUGUUCUACAGACCCCAGAAGAAAAUAUAAUGUGCAUAAUUGCAUGCACAUCUGGAAGAAGUAACAUAACACAGUUACUGGGUGAACUAAGACAGUACUUUGUUUAAUUAUCCACAAAAGGAUUGGCAGAAAAGCUUAUAAACUGUCUAGAAAUAGACUGGACAAAUAUCCCUUAAGAAUCUUAUUGCAGUGAACAUAUAGGUAAGCCUGCUUCUCCCUUGAAGAAUACUGGGAUUCAAAAGGCAAAUCUUGUUAAAGAGGACUCCUGGCAGGUUUCAAAAUAUGUUUUCCUAUAUUCUGGUCAUGCAAUACAAAGGAACAAUAUUUCAGGUCCCACAAAUCCAAGAUUUCGUGUGAUAACUACCAUUUCACAUAGCGUUCUAUAAGGGUGCAUAACAAAGAUUACAUACUCUCUCUUGUGAUAGUCAUAGAACCAUCAAAAUCGAUCUCAGUCAUCCCUCUGUUUGAGCCAGUACAUGAAGAACCCUUAUCCCAGAAUGCCAAUUGAGGGGACAGAUUUUUUUAAAAAACCUACCAUGCCCUGUCUAGGAACCAGUGAAAGUCUAUGAUAAAAGAUUAAGAGUAGGUGAAAGGCACAUAUGUCACACGCCCAUCUGAGAUUAUUAAAUAUAGCUAAAAACAGCAUUUCCAAUCUCUGAACAGGAUGUUACAAAAAAGAAGCUAGAAAUUGAAUGGCAUUGACUUAUAAAACCUUUCCAACCCAUCUCUAUGCAUCCUGCCUUAUGGUGCAACAAUCAGAGACACAAAACAACAUUCUUUAUCAAUCCAGAAAAUUAGUCAUGUUAAUCUCUGACAUGAACAGUUCACUGUUAUUUCCUUCUCAAAAUUCUAAGGAAUGUGUCAGUUUAGAAAUUAUCCAAAGACAAAUCAUGCAACAAUUUGUUGAUGCUAAUAGAUUUGGGUCUGUCCAUAGCCUAGGUGGGAGACUCCCUAGGAAUCCUUGCAACUCUGGAAGAUGAGGAGAAUAAAUGACUCAAAGAAACAGUAGUGGGAAAUGCUCUAUUUGCUUCUGGUACUUAAUUCUAAUUGGUACCCAUAGUAUAGUACAUUUCUUCCCAAGUGUGCAUUGCAAUCUUCACUGUGUGAGAUGUGUAUGUUAAGAAAUUGGAGAUUAACAGGCAACUAUUGAGAAUGGAAUAGUAUAAGUACAUUGAAGGUGCCAUUGAAAUAAUCAGCUCUUGGUACAAAAUGAGAGUGAGGAAUCAUGAGAGACAGGGCCAGUGGUAACACAAGGUCAAAUGAGCAAAGGUAGGAAUGUAUUGCUGAAAGAAUGGUGUUGAAGGAGAAAGAUAAAGAUAAGGAACUUGAUUAGAGUGGGUUAACUGAUGCUGUUCACUUUACAUGGAAUACGGAAAGCUGGUGAACGAAGUGAGCAUAAAGAGCUUUUGAGAUUUAGACGCACAGUUCCCUUGAUUCUAUCAUUCGAGUUCUCUGAUGAAAUGCAAACAUAUAGGAUAAUUAUAUGGGAGAAAGCCAUAUCUGCUUAAUAGCCACUUCACAUGAUCUUUGUUGCAUUUAUCUAUACUUUCAUUUUAGAGCUGCAGUGCACAGUCUUCUAGGUUGAUUGCUUUGGACUAGACUUGUGUAUGUGACUACUGACUUCUGUAUCUGUAAUUGUUUAUAUCAGGCAUCCUCAAACUGCGGCCCUCCAGCUGUUUGGGCUUCUGGGAGUUGGAGGCCCAAAACGAGAUUGUUCAAUGUCAAGAAUUCUGGGAGUUGAAGGCCCAAACAGCUGGAGGACCACAGUUUGAGGGUGCCUAGUUUAUAUCCUAUGAGAAGUACAGCAUUUCGAGAGUGCUGUGAAAGCCCAAGUCUUUUGUGCAGUCAUCUUCAGAAAGCACCAACACCCAAACCCAACCUUUAGGAAAACAUUGUGUGCCCUUGUGAAAAAAAAUCUAUCC